rnacentral:rRNA from 1 species
UACGAAGGGGGCUAGCGUUGUUCGGAUUUACUGGGCGUAAAGCGCACGUAGGCGGAUCGAUCAGUCAGGGGUGAAAUCCCAGAGCUCAACUCUGGAACUGCCUUUGAUACUGUCGAUCUGGAGUAUGGAAGAGGUGAGUGGAAUUCCGAGUGUAGAGGUGAAAUUCGUAGAUAUUCGGAGGAACACCAGUGGGCGAAGGCGGCUCACUGGUCCAUUACUGACGCUGAGGUGCGAAAGCGUGGGGAGCAAACAGG